rnacentral:lncRNA from 1 species
GGGACUUUAAGGAGGCCCUGAAACAUUCUUGGCUGAAGCAACAAGGCUGGCGCGCGGAGCCUUUAAGGAGGCCCAGAGUGGAGUAGUUGCAGUGCGGAGUGCUCCGGACUCUUGGUGUUUCUAUUGGUUCGACAUGAGUUGCUGAGUCUGAGUUGUCUUCCAAACUCCUGCUAUCUCAGUAUCUCUGGUCCUGGCUCCACAAAGAUAGGACAGAUCUGUGAUGUAAGGAGAAAGAAGCAUGAAGAGCAGGUAUCUGUUAUGGAAGGAGACCUCCUGAUCUGAGACCUUCCCCACCAGCUGGGGAGUCCUGAGAUAGAGUGGACCCUGGAAUUGCUAGACCUGCACCCUGUCUUAACCCCUCUGUAUGGAUUGUGGAAGGACUGAAGGACAUUUUAACCUUCAGAGAUCAACAGUAGCAGUGUGACAAUGAAGCGUUUGACUCGGAUGAUGGAAAGGACAGGUGAGGUGGCUCAGAGGUGAGCAGAAUUUAGGAGAGAGGAUGUAAAAAGAGAAGUUCAGUACUCCUACCAAGAAAUUACACAGGUUAUUGACUGUUGUCAUGUUUUGUUUUGUUUUAUAAUUUUGCUGUACCAGGUCUUAGUUGAGGCAUUUGGGAUCUAGUUCUCUGACCACGGAUUAACCCUGGGCCCCCUGCUUUGGGACCAUGGAGCCACUUGACCACCAAGGAAGUCCCUUUGUCGAUGGUUUCUAUUCACUUGAUAAGUGCUUUUUAAAUAAAAUUUUCAUGUAAUUUAUAUUUCUCUUAAAUACAUUUUGAUUUUUUUUAAGUGCUGUUAAAUAUAUAACUAUAAACAAAAGUUUCAAAAAAAAAAAAACACUAAAGUUUCCUGUUCCAUUCCUUCCCGUACCCUCUUCCCACUAGCCAUCAGCAACUACUUGGAACAUUUUUUUUCUGGAUAUUCUGGUAUUCAGCUCUGCUUUCCUGAAUAACAUCCUCAUACUGCUAAUGUUUGAUUUCUGUUUUAGAUAUUUCCUAUUGACUUUUGACAGUGGAGGUGGGGAUUUAUCUCUGUUUUCUGCCUAACCCCUUCCUCAUCACCCUCUCCCCAUCCUGACUCCCACUCACUGUUCUUUCCCUUCUUUUUAAUAUGGUGUUUUGUUGGAAGUUAAAGGUUGACCAGUGUCAGGAUCUAUAUGCAUUUUCUUUUGAGCUAGUCAGUUCUCCCAGGAAGAAGUCCUAGGCAGAUUGAGGAGUGUAAGCUGGAACACUGGGAGGC